GUCGCUUCUCCUCUCUCUGAGCUAAGAUCAUGUGUAGUAUCUGUUCUUUCCAGUGUAAUUUCUGCUGUAAUGGAGCAAGACUAUUGUUAUUGUUAUUACUUCAUAUCUGUU
rnacentral:snRNA from 1 species